AAACGCCCGGGAAUUACGAGCGCAAGCUUAAAACCUAAAGGAUUUGACGGUGUCCCACCCACCUAGAGGAGCCUGUUCUAUAAUCGAUGAUCCACGAUAUACCUUACCACUUUUAGCUUUACAGCCUGUAUACCUCCGUCGACAGCCUACCAUUUGAGUGUAACAAAGUCAGUUCAAGGGUCCUCACACCAACACGUCAGGUCAAGGUGCAGCCUAUAAAGUGGAAGCAAUGGGCUACAGUUUCUAAUAUAGAACAAACGAAAUGAUAUAUGCAAUAUUAUCAUGAAGGCGGAUUUAGUAGUAAAAGAAGAACAGCAAGCUUCUUUUAACAUGGCCCUGGGACGUGUACAAACCGCCCGUCACCCUCUUCAACAGCAUAAUACAUUUUAUUAAUACUUUCUAGCAUACUAGAAGAGGCAAGUCGUAACAUGGUAAGUGUACUGGAAAGUGCACUUGGUUAAACAAAGUAUAGCUUAACUAAAGCUUUUCGCUUACACCGAAAAAACAUCUGUUUAACCCAGAUUACUUUGAGCCCUAAAUCUAGCCUAAAUUCCCAAAUAUACUCUCACUAAUUAACCCAAACUUAAUAAAACAUUUUGACAUCUUAGUAAAGGAGAU
rnacentral:rRNA from 1 species